rnacentral:rRNA from 1 species
AUAUUGGUAAAACAAGUAGAAUUUAAAAAUGGAAAUACGAAUUACGAGUGCUAUAUAAAAAUGGCCGUAUUCGAAUGGAUUUAUUUUUAUAAAUAUAUUUAAAAUUUUUACCCAAAGGCAAAAUAUUGAAUUACAUUCAAUAAUAUAAAAAAAUGGAAUUAUAUAUAAAGUGGAAAAUCUAUAAUAUUUAUAUUGCUUAUUUCAAUUCAAAAAAUAUGAAUGAAAUAUGAAAAGAAAACAUUAUUCUGGUUGAUCCUGCCAGUAGUUAUAUGCUUGUCUCAAAGAUUAAGCCAUGCAUGUCUAAGUACACACGAAUUAAAAGUGAAACCGCAAAAGGCUCAUUAUAUCAGUUAUGGUUCCUUAGAUCGUUAACAGUUACUUGGAUAACUGGGGUAAUUCUAGAGCUAAUACAUGCAAUUAAAACAUGAACCUUAUGGGACAUGUG